GAUGAAGAACGUAGCGAAAUGCGAUAAGUAAUGUGAAUUGCAGAAUUCAGUGAAUCAUCGAAUCUUUGAACGCACAUUGCGCCCCUUGGUAUUCCGAGGGGCAUGCCUGUUUGAGCGUCAUUAUAACCCCUCAAGCUCAGCUUGGUGUUGGGGCCUGCCGCACGGGCAGCCCUUAAAAUCAGUGGCGGUGCCAUCUGGCUCUAAGCGUAGUAAUUCUUCUCGCUAUAGAGUCCCGGUGGAUGCUUGCCAUUAACCCCCAAUUUUCUAUGGUUGACCUCGGAUCAGGUAGGGAUACCCGCUGAACUUAAGCAUAUCAAUAAGCGGAGGA
rnacentral:misc_RNA from 1 species